UACACAGGCAGCAGAAUAUAGCUUGAGCAUGUGACAGCCUGCCUCUGAAAGAUUCCCGAAGAGAGACCCUUACUCAAGUCUCGGGAAAUCGCGGACCCCAGACACAGAGAGACCA
rnacentral:pre_miRNA from 14 species